UACGGGGGGGGCAAGCGUUGUUCGGAAUUACUGGGCGUAAAGGGCGCGUAGGCGGCCUGCUAAGUCGGAUGUGAAAUCCCUCGGCUCAACCGAGGAACUGCAUCCGAUACUGGCGGGCUUGAAUCCGGGAGAGGGAUGUGGAAUUCCAGGUGUAGCGGUGAAAUGCGUUGAUAUACGAUAGGAACUCCGGUGGCGAAGGCGGCAUACUGGACCACUUCUGACGCUGAGGCGCGAAAGCCAGGGGAGGCAAACGGG
rnacentral:rRNA from 1 species